rnacentral:lncRNA from 1 species
CACUGACCUGAGACAGUGGAAAGCUCUAUAAGGACUCACUGCCGACCCUUACCGUGUCCAGGCCACUAGAGGGCAAACUAAGGUCUGCCCUCAAAAGGAUGGGCUGUGAGGUUGUAGAUGAUCAGUGGCCUCAGGAGGGAGGAGCCCAGGCUUUGGGGCCAUGUGGAGAGAGCCGUGGGAGUCCACGGGGAUUCAGAGAUGCUCUGAGUGGUGCACAGUGCAGCCCUGACACUGGGGAAAGGGUGAUGUGGCUGUUAUUAGGACUUCUGAGCUAUCAAGCUUUGGCUGCAGAGAUGCAGUUUCUGGAAGUGGGGAGGAUAAAGCAGGAGGAAGAGGGAAGGGUAUCAGAAGAACCAGGCAAGGGUGCUGGCUUAUGCCUGGAGCAAGCAUGGGCCCAGGGCAAGGCUGUGAUCAGUGCAAGUGGAAGAAGGAGCAAGGUGAUAGGACCGACCAGCAAGGCCAACCAGCUUGGCACAUUACUUUAACCCCUGGUGCUACAGCCCAUGCAGACUACGUAGGCCUGUUGAAACAGAGGCCUGUCGGGGUGGGGAUCACCAGCCCCAGUGCCCACUUCAGCUCUGUUCCCAUAGCCAGAUAGCUUGACCUUGAGCUUCAGAAAGGAAGGUUCUGCAACUUAGAAGCCUUGGGGAGGUUCUACCCCAGGUAAGGUGUGAGGUUAGGCUUAUACAGGUAAAAGAGGGAUAUGAGUGGCCUCCCUCACCUAGGAGAGAUUCAAGAUGCCCCAGAGGGGCUCAGCACAUGCACUCAGCUCGUAACAUUAGCCUUCAGGAGUCAAACUUUACAUCUGUGAGCCUCUCCCUGGAGGGGACUGACAAAACCAAAGAGAGUUUCAAUACCUGUGGCUAGACCAGGCCACUACCCAUCCUCUUUGCAGUUAGGGUUGGAUCUCCUAGCAGAGACAAUGCCCAGGAAUGAGUGGGGAAAAGGAUGGCUAAGGGGUAGACAUGCUGCCCCCUCUCAUGGCCUAAGUCAAGUGUAAGAAUCCUGCCGUAUGGGCUGGAUAGAUGGCUCAGCCGUUAAAGGCUCACAACCAAAUAUAUAAGAAUCCUGCCGUAUGACCUGUGUACAUGCACAUGCUUCAUCCCAGCAGUUUUCACAGUAGAGAUAACAGCCCCAGGUGAAAAGUGAGGGAUCUGCCCUCUGAGUCUGAGUUAAUACCACUCUCCUGCCCCAGGAGUCCCUUCUUGGCCCAAG